AAUUCUCCUCCUCACGACCAUCAAUUCAGUUGCUUCAUUUGUUCUUGAAUUAUGGACCACUUACUGUUAGAAUUUGACCACAAAUGCAGAGUCAGACUUUGAUCCCAAAUGUGGAGAAUGGAAACUUGUGGCUCACCCCUUGAAGACGAAGAACCCUUAGUAUGUGGAAGACAUACGCAUCACUAGUGGAGAGAAGGGAUUUUCUAUGUGUUUUCUCUUUUCUGAUCCUUAUCGAUCCCAAU
rnacentral:lncRNA from 1 species